rnacentral:rRNA from 1 species
UAAUGUCUGGGAAACUGCCUGAUGGAGGGGGAUAACUACUGGAAACGGUAGCUAAUACCGCAUAACGUCGCAAGACCAAAGAGGAGGACCUUCGGGCCUCUUGCCAUCGGAUGUGCCCAGAUGGGAUUAGCUAGUAGGUGGGGUAACGGCUCACCUAGGCGACGAUCCCUAGCUGGUCUGAGAGGAUGACCAGCCACACUGGAACUGAGACACGGUCCAGACUCCUACGGGAGGCAGCAGUGGGGAAUAUUGCACAAUGGGCGCAAGCCUGAUGCAGCCAUGCCGCGUGUAUGAAGAAGGCCUUCGGGUUGUAAAGUACUUUCAGCGGGGAGGAAGGCGAUAAGGUUAAUAACCUUGUCGAUUGACGUUACCCGCAGAGAAGCACCGGCUAACUCCGUGCCAGCAGCCGCGGUAAUACGGAGGGUGCAAGCGUUAAUCGGAAUUACUGGGCGUAAAGCGCACGCAGGCGGUCUGUCAAGUCGGAUGUGAAAUCCCCGGGC